UGUCAUGCCUGAUCAAAUCACUGCCCAGUGAGUUCAAGAACUCUGCUCAAUAUCCCACCAAUACAGGGCAAGGCAGACAGAAACACAGGCAUGUGCCCCGUGAAGGAUGGGAAGUUGCAGUGCACAGAUACUCCCUUUCCAGCCCCUCCAGGUCACAUUUUCAGCUCCUGAAGCAAAAAAUCACUGGCAGCUCCAGUGACAUUGCUCCCAACAAAUCAAAGGAAGAAAAGAGCAAAACUAAUAAAGAGGUCAAAUAUCAGC